rnacentral:tmRNA from 1 species
GGGGCUGACCGGUUUUGACAGCAAGUUGAAAGGGUAAGUAAGCAUGUCGAGCCAUGUGAUAAAGCUCGUAAAUCCGUGUCACAAACUUUUUAAUUGGCGAAAACAAUUACGCUCUCGCAGCAUAAUCGAAGUUUAGUAGAUUAGCUUUAUCCCGCACUAGGUGCGCGGACGAGACGGCUCGCAGGUGGAGAUGCUCAAUUCCGGCCUGAUUUCGAGUCGCAAGCAAUUUUGAGUUAGUUUCAACUAUGUUUCAGAGUUGGGAUGAAAUUAAGAAACUAAGGUGUUAACCAGGGUGUUUAUUCCCUUUUAAUACUCGAAAACCAAUAAUAAACUAAGCGUGUAGAAAGCUUAUCGGUUCCUUGUUUGGACGAGGGUUCGAAUCCCUCCAGCUCCACUC